rnacentral:lncRNA from 1 species
AAUGAGAAAAAAUUUAUUUUAUUAUUUAUAAUAGAGCAUGAACUUUUAACGCUAUAAAGAUAUCCACUUGCCUUCUAAAUUUUACAUGCAAAGUAGAAAAAAUAUGCCUGAAAUUCUCAAGUUGUUUAAAAAAAUUAUUCUAUACUAUUCUUUAUUCUUUGUCGCAUCACAUGUUGUUGGUAAGCCAAAACUUUCAUUCUUAUAAGAUUUUCUUCUUUAUUUUACGGUUUUUAUUCAAACUAUUAUCAUGUUUUUGUACUAUUAUUUUAUCAUCUUUUUAAAUUAUAGGGGAAGAUAUAAAAUGCGAAACAAAUCUAGAUUGCGUCAAUGUUGGGACCGACACCAUGUAUUUUCUUUGCAUUCGUAACUUGUGUCGUGGUUUUGUUCUCUUUGGUUGAUUCUAUGACUACCGACUACCAAAUCCGUAAGAGUUCAAAAUAUCACAUUAAGGAGAUUAAUCUAGUUAAAAAACUAAACUAAAUGUAUAAAUAUACUUUAUAAAAGAAUAUCUCAUAAGUUGUCAUUUUUUUAUUCUAUGCCUACUUGAUAAUUUUAUAAUUUUAUAGUUUUUCUAUUUCUAAUUUCAUAUAUCUUGCAUCUUCUAUUUCUUUAUUGUAUGCCUACUUUAGUAGUUAGGUUGAACACAAGUUUUUGUUAGAUGGAUUUGAAGUGAACAAGAGUAAACUUGUGUAGUUAUUGUUGGUCAAAAUAAAAGAGAGAUAAAGAGAGUAUGAAGGAGAAACAAGAAAAAAUAAUAGUAAAAAGAAACAAUAAUGGUUAUGAGAACUUUGAGGAGAUGUUAAAUAAUAACCAUUCAUCUUUCUUGUUUUAUUGGCUAUAAAAGCCUUGUAUCUUUCAUUUGUAAUCAUCAGAACAUUAAUUUCAAUAAAUUCUCUUUAGUGUAAUUGAGUUGUGAAAUUUUCAUGAUGAGAGAGGUUAAUGAAUUAAUAUAUUUUAUUUUCAUUAAGUUUUUGUGCUUCCGCGUUAAUUUGCUCUCUACAAAUCUGAUAAUAUGGGGAAAUUUUGCGUAGUUUCUAACAACUGGUAUCAGAUCCAGUGUGGUUGAUUUUUCUAAUUUUUUCUAGUAAAGAAAUUUUAGAGACGAUCCUGAGAAAAUCAGAUUUAAGUGGGGAGUGAUGGCUGCAGACGAAGGAAAAAUGAAAAUUGAAAAGUUCGAUGUGUGUGGACUUAGUUUUUGGAAGAUGCCAGAUUGAAGAUUAUCUAUAUCAGAAAAAGCUACACAACCUCUCAUGGAAACGAACCAGAUUCGAUGAAGGAAGAAUGAGUGGAACCUUCUCGAUAGGCAAGCACUUGGCGUUAUCCGAUUGACAUUAUCUCGAAAUGUUGCUUUUAACAUUGCGAAGGAGAAGACAACCGGCUGGUCUUUUGAAGGCUCUUCAAGCAUGUAUGAAAAGCCCUCAGCAAUCAAAUAAAAUUCAUUUGAUGAGACGGUUAUUUUACACUUCGGAUGACAGAAGACACCAUCAAUUGCACAACAUAUCAAUGAACUCAAUAAUUGUAACAACCCAAUUGAGUUCAGUUGGAAUUGAGUUUGACGAUGAAGUACGAGCAUUGAUACUUUGUCUCCUUACCAGAUAGUUGGAGUGGCUACUGUCACGCAGUGAGUAGCUCGUCAGGAAGUACAAAGAUGAAAUUUGAUGAUGUUCGUGAUCUGGUUCUCAGUGAAGAGAUCAGGCGAAGAGAGUUGGGUGAAUCAUCAUCCUCUUCAGUAUUACAUACAAAGGAAAGAGGAAGAAAUUCAACCAGGGGAUAUGGACGUGGUAAAUCAAAGGAUCGACGAUCCAAAUCCAUAAAUCAUCGUAGUUUCAAUAAUUCGAAGACUAUCGAAUGUUGGAAUUAUGGAAAGAAAUGGCAUUACAAAAAUCAAUGUAGACUCCCACCAAAGAAUCAAGAGGUAAAGGAUGAAGCAAAUGUUGCUUCCACUUCAAGAGGAGAAGACGCGUUGAUAUGCUCUUUGGAGAAUAAGGAAGAGUUUUGGGUGUUAGACUCUGGAGCAUCCUUCCAUGCCACUUCCCAGAAAGAAUUCUUUAAUAAUUAUGUCUCUGGAAACCUCGGUAAAAUUUACCUCGGUAAUGAGCAAUCAUGUAAGAUUGCACGUAAAGGUGUAGUGAAGAUUAAGUUAGGUGGGUCUGAAUGGGAAUUGAAAAAUGUAAGACAUAUUCCCGACUUGACAAAGAACUUAAUCUCAGUAGGCCAGUUGGCUAGUGAAGGCUACACAACAGUCUUUCAUGGUGAUCAAUGGAAGAUUUCAAAGGGUGCAAUGACAGUUGCUCGCGGUAAAAAGAGUGGUACUCUAUUAAUCUCAGUAGGCCAGUUGGCUAGUGAAGGCUACACAACAGUCUUUCAUGGUGAUCAAUGGAAGAUUUCAAAGGGUGCAAUGACAGUUGCUCGCGGUAAAAAGAGUGGUACUCUUUACAAGAUAGUGGGAACUUGUCACUUGAUUGCCGUUGCGAAAAAUGAAAGCCACAAUCUAUGGCACCAAAGAUUAGGCCAUAUGAGUGAGAAAGGGAUGAAGAUCAUGCACUCAAACGGAAAACUACAAGGUCUUAGGUCAAUAGAAAUUGACAUGUGUGAAGACUGUAUAAUUGGAAAACAAAAGUGAGUCAGCUUUCAGACAAAUGGGAGAACCCCAAAGAAGGAAAGGCUUGAGCUUAUUCACUCUGAUGUUUGGGGUCCAACUACCGUCUCAUCUAUUAGCGGGAAGAAAUACUUCGUGACUUUUAUUGAUGACCAUUCCAGAAAGGUAUGGGUAUACUUUCUGAAAUAUAAGUCUGACGUAUUUGAGGCUUUCAAGGUGUGGAAAGCGAUGGUAGAAAAUGAGACCGGAUUGAAGAUCAAAAAGCUCCGAACUGACAAUGGUGGUGAAUAUAUAGACACCAAGUUCAAGAAUCUAUGUUAUGAGCACGAAAUCAGAAUGGAGAGGACUGUGCCAGGAACACCUCAACAGAAUGGUGUAGCUGAGCGUAUGAAUCGAACUUUGACUGAAAGAUCCAGAAGCUUACAUGUGCAGUCAGGCUUACCGAAGCAGUUAUGGCAGAGGCAGUCAACACAUCAGCUUAUUUAAUCAACUGAGGUCCAUCGGUACCAUUGGAGCAUAGAAUACCAGAAGAGGUAUGGAGCGAAAAAGAGGUAAAACUCUCACAUCUUAGAGUUUUCGGAUGUGUAGCAUAUGUGCACAUUAGUGUUCAUGGCAGGAAUAAGCUUGAUCCCAAAUCAAAGAAAUGCAUUUUCCUCGGUUAUGGUGAGGAUGAGUUUGACUAUCGACUAUGGGAUGAUGAAAACAAGAAAAUGAUCCGCAGUAGAUAUGUGGUCUUUAAUGAAAGAGUUAUGUACAAAGAUAGGCAUAACACAAGCACUAAUGAAUCAAAAUUAAAUGACCCAGUUUAUGCAGAGGUUGAUGAUAUCCCAGAAAGUCAUAUAAUUGAAAAUCCUCAAUUAGAGGAAUCAACUGAACAAGCAGUGAGCAACAGUAUGACGCAUCAGAGACUUGUACUCCAACUUCUAUAUUGAGAAGGUCUUCUCGACCUCAUGUUCCUAAUAGGAGAUACAUGGACUACAUGUUGCUAACUGAUGGAGGUGUGCCUGAAGACUAUGCAGAAGCAUGUCAGACCACAGAUGCUAGUAAGUGGGAGCUUGCAAUGAAAGAUGAGAUGAAGUCUUUAAUCUCCAACCAGACAUGGGAACUAGUUGAGUUACCUAGUGGAAAGAGCACUUCACAACAAAUGGGUGUAUCGAGUAAAAGAGGAUCAUGAUGGUUCUAAGCGAUACAAAGCUCGACUAGUUGUCAAAGGAUUUCAGCAAAAAGAAGGAGUUGAUUACACUGAAAUCUUUGCUCGAGUUGUGAAACUCAAUACUAUCAUGUCAGUUUUAAGUAUUGUGGCCAGCAAAGAGCUCUACCUUGAGCAAUUGGACGUGAAGACUUCAUUUCUUCACGGAGACUUAGAUGAGGAGAUUUACAUGCACCAACCUGAAGGUUUCUUAGAGAAAGGGAAACAGAAUAUGGUGUGCAGAUUAAAGAAGCGCUUGUAUGGCCUGAAAUAAGCUCCAAGACAGUGGUAUAUGAAGUUUGAAAGCUUUAUGCACAAGGAAGGUUUCCAGAAGUGCAAUGCUGAUCACUGUUGUUUCUUCAAGAGAUAUAAGUCCAAUUACAUCAUUUUGCUACUCUAUGUCGAUGAUAUGUUAGUAGCAGGUCCAGAUAUGGAUGAAAUCGGAAACUUGAAGAUGCAGUUAUCAAAGGAGUUUGACAUGAAGGAUUUGGGUCCAACAAAGAAGAUUCUUGGAAUGCAAAUCAUGAGAGAUAAGCAAAGAGGAAUUUUGCAGUUAUCUCAGGCAGAGUACAUCAAUCGUAUUUUGCAAAGGUUCAACAUGGGCAAUGCCAAACCGGUUAGCACACCUUUGGCAAGUCAUUUUCGCUUAUCCAAGGACCAGUCUCCUCAGACGGAGGAAGAAAUAGAAUUCAUGGAUAAGAUUUCAUAUGCUUUAGCCAUAGGAAGUUUGAUGUACGAAAUGGUAUGUACUAGGCCAGACAUUGGCCAUGCAGUGGGAGUUGUAAGCAGGUUUAUGGCAAAUCCAGGAAAAACUCAUUGGGAAGCAGUCAAGUGGAUUUUGCGGUAUCUACGAGGCACUAAAAAGAAAUGUCUAUACUUUGGCAAAGGAGAAAUAAAAGUACAAGGAUACGUUGAUGCAGACUUUAUCGGUGAAGUUGAUCACCGAAGAAGUACGAUUGGCUAUAUAUUUACUGUUGGUACUGGAGCAGUUAGUUGGAUAUCGCGAAUACAAAAGAUUGUUGCUAGUAAGGAAUUAAUAUGGCUUCAAGGAUUGUUAACAGAGUUGGGUUUCAUGCAGGAGAAGAGUGUUUUGUAUAGUGACAGUCAAAAUGCAAUACAUCUAGCAAAGAAUUCUGCAUUUCAUUCAAGAACAAAACACAUUGGUCUUCGUUAUCACUUCAUUAGAUCUCUUCUUGAGGAUGGGGUACUAACAUUGAGCAAGAUACAAGGAAGUGAGAAUCCAGUUGACAUGUUAACAAAGGUGGUGACAAUUGAUAAACUGAAGUUGUGCUCUUCUUCAGUUGGCCUGCUAGAAUAAUAAAUUGAUAAACGUUGUUGUUUGACCGCAAGGUGUGGAGACUGAUUAAAAUCACUCUUCAAGUGGGAGAUUGUUGGUCAAAAUAAAAGAGAGAUAAAGAGAGUAUGAAGGAGAAACAAGAAAAAAUAAUAGUAAAAAGAAAUAAUAUGGUUAUGAGAACUUUGAGGAGAUUUUAAAUAAUAACCAUUCAUCUUUCUUGUUGUAUUGGCUAUAAAAGCUUGUAUUUUCAUUUGUAAUCAUCAGAACAUAAUUUCAAUAAAUUCUUUUAGUGUAAUUGAGUUUGUGAAAUUUUCAUGUGAGGAGAGGUUAAUGAAUUAAUAUAUUUUAUUUCAUUAAGUUUGUGUGCUUCCGCGUUAAUUUAUUCUUCCACAAUCUGAUAAUAUGGGGAAAUUUUGCGUAGUUUCCUAACAGCUAUGAGAUACUAAUAAACUAAAAAAAAAAUCAUCUUAGUUAUUUAUAA